ACUUUUCUCGGACUCAUCUUCAAGGCAUAGCUCCUCUAUACUACAUGGAGUGGGGAGAUUUCCUGCAAAACUUAUGAGAUCCAGGCAUGUCUGGCUCAAAACGCGUUCGCAAGAAGCGGUUCCAAAAUCCUGCGAAAGUAGUAAAUGCGUGGCCCUGUUCGUCGUAUAUCUCCCACGGUUCGUGCAAGGUGUCGCAGUUGAAGUUGUGUACAAAAAUUCCAUACUCCAGGAGUCUCUGCUUUACACGACGAUCACGGGCCACAGUGAUGGGAUCUGCUUGCAAUGCAUCGAAUGGUUGCAGAAGAUCUGAGUUGAUCCUGUAGCUCGAGCUAUGUUUACCAGCACAGAGAGCGUGUCGUUCCCCUUUUGGAGGAGGAGCGAACAGCCGUAGCUUGCAAGCGAUGCAUCGAGAUGAAGAUUGGAAGGACGACUCCCGGCGCGUUCGCCGCGGCGAGCAGCGCGGGAUUAUCUUCUACACGAAGGUCUCUUCGGAACCAUACCAGGACAAGCUCGAGCUUUCAAUGGAAACAUUUUGGAGCCGGGCGCCACACUAAACAGCGUAAGCAUAUACUUUCCAUUCAAGUGCUUGCUUGUUGUCAAUUGCAAGCUGGUCCUGGAGCUUAGUACCUUCGUGGCUUCUUUCUCAACAGCUAUGUGCUUGAUGGCCCUGCUCAACAUUCUUAUGUGGUGUCUCUUAGUUGCUGGCUUUGAAUUGAGGAGAAUGACACACGCUGUCUGGAUUCCAGAAGUUAAUGACAGGGUUUGGAGAGAUCUUUCUGGAAUGUGAGCGCGUUGUCAGACUCAGCUUCCACCAACCAGUGUGGACAAGACGUUAUGGUAUCAGCUUAUCCGAGUCCCAUGUGAAAUCUACCGCAGCUGAUUCAAUGCUGGGAUCUUACAGCUAGCCAUACUCCAUGCUCUGGUCUCUUGUCAAUUUUACAAGUAGCAGCCAAACAAGUGUACCGGGAGAAGAUCCAGUCAAUUUUUGGAUUCGGCCGCAGCGACUCGUGUCUUGCUUGUUUCAGAGGUUUUGUCCAGUAUUGACGGUGGCAUAUAGAGGACAAGGGCAAAAAAUGUUAAGUUUUUGCUGACAUGCAUGGUUAUCAUGUAAGGCAACAUUUCUUGAACAUCUCGAUAACUUUAGCUAACGAACUUUUGAGAUAGCUAUUUUGGGCAAUCCUAGUUGCUCAAAUGGAUAAAGCUUUAACCAUGUUUCAGCUGACAUUGAUCAAUGUUGAUCAUUAUAAGAAAAACUGAACUCUAAAUCUCUUUCCUCGAUA